GACCAAGCGGUCCGGGUUUGCCUGGGACUGAGCAGGUGCCUGGGUGAGAGGCACUCGGGGAGUAAAUCUGAGGGAGG
ensembl:miRNA